UACGUGGUGCAGAUUCGUAGCGUUUCUGAGGUGCUUGUGCGCAAGGAUCCGUAAUGUCGGAUAGCUGCUCUGUGACCGAUGAAGAACAGCGUGCCCGUGAGGAUCACCUUUGCAAACAGAAGCAGGAGUGGGCACGAAAGCAUCGGCGACCAAUUGCAGUAUAUCACAGUGACCACAAAGCAAUGGUUACCAUGGUGACAAAGUAAAUAGAAUAUCAAAGAUAACGAA
rnacentral:lncRNA from 1 species